ACGACUCUCGGCAACGGAUAUCUUGGCUCUCGCAUCGAUGGAGAACGCAGCGAAAUGCGAUACUUGGUGUGAAUUGCAGAAUCCCGUGAACCAUCGAGUCUUUGAACGCAAGUUGCGCCCGAGGCUAUCCGGCCGAGGGCACG
rnacentral:rRNA from 1 species